CGAUUCUGGCUCAGAACGAACGCUGGUAGCGUGGAUUAGGCAUGCAAGUCGAACGGGAUCCGGAAGGUAGCAAUAUCGUCCGGUGAGAGUGGCGGAAGGGCGAGGAACGCGUGGACAACCUGUCCAUGGGACGGGGAAAACUCCGGGAAACUGGAGCUAAUACCCGAUACGUCGCGGAGCGGCAUCGCUUCAGCGGCAAAGGGGCGCCGCAAGGGCUCCCGCCCAACGAGGGGUCCGCGUAUCAUCAGCUUGUUGGCGGGUAACGGCCCACCAAGGCUUACGAUUAGCUGGUCUGAGAGGAUGGCCAGCCGCACUGGGACUGAGAUACUGCCCAGACUCCUACGGGAGGCUGCAGUCGAGGAUCAUUCGCAAUGGGGGAAACCCUGACGAUGCGACGCUGCGUGGAGGAAUGAAGGCCUUCGGGUUGUAAACUCCUGUCAUGAGGGAAAAGGCGAGAGUACCCAAUACGUGCUUUAGUUGAUGGUACCUCAAGAGGAAGCGACGGCUAACUCUGUGCCAGCCGCCGC
rnacentral:rRNA from 1 species